rnacentral:rRNA from 1 species
AACGGGGGGGGCGAGCGUACUCUCAAUGACUGGGCGUAAAGGGUGCGCAGACGGCGAGAAAUCGUAUCAUGUAAAUUUCUGGGCUCAACCUAGAGUUGUUGAUAGUCGGUCUUGCUACGAAUUUUAAAGAGGAGAGCGGUAUUCGCAGAGUAGGGGUGAAAUCCUGUAAUCCUGCUGGGGACCAACAAAGGCGAAGGCAGCUCUCCAGGUAAAAUGGACGUUCAGGCACGAAAGCGUGGGGAUCAAACGGG